rnacentral:lncRNA from 1 species
AAGCCUCUCCAUUCUUUUCUUUUUCUGAUCGGUUCCAUCGCCUGUAAUUCUUAACUUUUAAGCAAAAAAAGAAAAAAAAAAUCCUAACUUCUAAGCAAUUGAAGAAAAAUGAAUUAAAUUCCCAACGUCAAGCAAAUAAUCAAAUCCAAAAAUCAUUAUAAAAAGAGAAAAAGAAGAAAGUGUAAAGAAACAUUAUUCAUAACUCCUUCUCCUGUUUCUGUAGCCAAUAAAAAUAAAUUAAAAAACAACACGAGAAACAUAAAAUAACUGGAUCUAAGUUAUAUCCAUAUAGCAUAUAAACAUACAUAAUAUAUAGCAUUACAUAAUUAAUAAUAAAAAUGUAGAGAGGAUAAAAUCCCUGUUAUUUCACCAUAAGACCUACAACAAAUAAUAAAAUAAACUCUGAAGUGGUAACGUGGAAAGUCUCAAGUUUAUUAUAUAUGUUAUUUUGGAAUAUUAAUUCAUUCAUGAAAUGCAAAAUAAGAAAUCCUAGAACUUGAAGACCGCCAUGAGAGACAAAACGAGCGAGGCACCGAUCAUGAUGGCGGAGCAAGGCACGGAGUCUGCGGCUCCUGCUUCAGGCGACGGUGCCGGAGACGAGGCGGGGGAUAAUUCUUGAGCGGAGGCGGCGGAGAAGAGAGCGAGGAGGAGGAAAAGAGCGAAGGCCUUGAAUGUUGGUGCCAUAGCGAAUUAAGGGGGUGCAGAAAGUAAAGUAGAGAGAAAAUGCACGUUCAAUGGAGAAGAUAAAGAAGAAGGGGCAUUAAUUUAUAGUGGAGAAAACGCGGACAGUUGGCAGAAGAUGGAAGGCGCGUUCUUGUUUGGAGAAACCAUUUGCGUGAAAACUCCGACAACACCAGUAAACGUUAAUAUUCCCCUGGUAUCAACUAUCCACUUUUUCAUUACUAUUUCUUUAUUUUCAUUUUAAUUAGGAAAAAAAUCAC